GACGAACGCUGGCGGCGUGCUUAACACAUGCAAGUCGAACGGAAAGGCCCUGCUUUUGUGGGGUGCUCGAGUGGCGAACGGGUGAGUAACACGUGAGUAACCUGCCCUUGACUUUGGGAUAACUUCAGGAAACUGGGGCUAAUACCGGAUAGGAGCUCCUGCUGCUUGGUGGGGGUUGGAAAGUUUCGGCGGUUGGGGAUGGACUCGCGGCUUAUCAGCUUGUUGGUGGGGUAGUGGCUUACCAAGGCUUUGACGGGUAGCCGGCCUGAGAGGGUGACCGGCCACAUUGGGACUGAGAUACGGCCCAGACUCCUACGGGAGGCAGCAGUGGGGAAUAUUGCACAAUAGGCGGAAGCCUGAUGCAGCAACGCCGCGUGCGGGAUGACGGCCUUCGGGUUGUAAACCGCUUUCGCCUGUGACGAAGCGUGAGUGACGGUAAUGGGUAAAGAAGCACCGGCUAACUACGUG
rnacentral:rRNA from 1 species